rnacentral:rRNA from 1 species
AUUGAACGCUGGCGGCAGGCCUAACACAUGCAAGUCGAACGGUAACAGGAAGAUUCUUUCUUCUUUUCUGACGAGUGGCGGACGGGUGGGUUAUGUCUGGGAAACUGCCUGAUGGCGGGGGAUAACUAUUGGAAACGGUAGCUAAUACUGCUUACCGUCGCAAGACCAAAGAGGUGGAUCUUCUGGCCUCUUGUCUUCUGGUGUGCCCAGAUGGGCUUAGGUCGUAUGUGGGGUAGCGGCUCACCUAGGCGAAGCUCCCUAGCGGGUGUGAGAGGAUGAGCGGGCACACUGGAACUGAGACACGGUCCAGACUCCUACGGGAGGCAGAAGUGGGGAAUAGUGAACAAGGGGAGCGAGCCGGAUGCAGACAUGCCGCGUGUAUGAAGAAGGCCUUCGGGUUGUAGAGUAAUUUCAGCGGGGAGGAAGGGAGUAAAGUUAAGAUCGAAGCUUAUUGACGUUACCCGCAGAAGAAGCACCGGCUAACUACGUG